CAUAUAGUCUACAGGGGCCCCAGCAGAAGGGACUCCGGGUAGAUAAAGAGAAAAAGUUCCAUAGCUAGUAAUACGUAAAUGCAACGGAGUCCGGUUUGCACAUGGACAACAGUGCUGGACGGGAGGCAUCGAAGGAGCCGCGUGGAGCCAGUUGGGAAGGCUGAGAACACAGCCAGGACAUAAAGACGGAGUUCUGUAUGGAGGAGGUCCCUCUCCUCCACUCCUGUGAAGCAGCUAGUGGGGCCCGCUGCUUUAAAGGUUCCUCUAAUACCUGUCCUGUCCCGUAUGAGCCGCAGGGUCUGGAGUUCAAUCUAGCUACAUUUCCGGUGGCACAGAGGCCAGCCACCGGAUGGCAGCAAACACUGCUCUGACAGGAUGAUUUGUGUGAUGGAACAGCCUCGCGUUCCAGCGCUGCCACACUGGCCUGAAUUUUAAGGUUCGGAGUUUGCUCAUUAUCAUAGCCCGAGAAGAAUUCUCUUUUGGGAAUUCCAUUAUUUUAGGAGAAUCAUUUGGAUAAGGCUUUCAGUUAUGCAAAUGCAAGGCAAAGAAGAGAGAGACGAAGACAUUGGAGAAGUAGAUUUGAAGCAGUGGCCUGUGUGAAGAAUAACAAUAAAAGACACCUUUGUCGCAUACUUAAAUAAUAUAAUAAAGUAAGAAGAGAAACAGGAAGAAGAGGAAGAGGAGG